UACGUAGGGUGCAAGCGUUGUCCGGAAUUAUUGGGCGUAAAGAGCUUGUAGGCGGUUUGUCGCGUCUGCUGUGAAAUUUCGGGGCUCAACCCCGAACUUGCAGUGGGUACGGGCAGACUAGAGUAUGGUAGGGGAGACUGGAAUUCCUGGUGUAGCGGUGAAAUGCGCAGAUAUCAGGAGGGACACCGAUGGCGAAGGCAGGUCUCUGGGCCACUACUGACGCUGAGAAGCGAAAGCAUGGGGAGCGAACAGG
rnacentral:rRNA from 1 species